rnacentral:rRNA from 1 species
UACUUGGGUAACAUCCCUUCAAGAUUGGGAUAACGCGCCGAAAGGCGUGCUAAUACCGGAUAAGACCACGACCCCUCCGGGGGUUGGGGUCAAAGAUGGCCUCUAUUUAUAAGCUAUCACUUGAAGAUUGGCUCAAGCACCAUUAGCUAGUUGGCGGGGUAAUGGCCCACCAAGGCUACGAUGGUUAGCCGGCCUGAGAGGGUGAUCGGCCACACUGGGACUGAGAUACGGCCCAG